AGUGAACGCUGGCGGUAGGCCUAACACAUGCAGGUCGAACGGCAGCACAGUAAGAGCUUGCUCUUACGGGUGGCGAGUGGCGGACGGGUGAGGAAUACAUCGGAAUCUACUUUUUCGUGGGGGAUAACGUAGGGAAACUUACGCUAAUACCGCAUACGACCUACGGGUGAAAGCAGGGGAUCUUCGGACCUUGCGCGAUUGAAUGAGCCGAUGUCGGAUUAGCUAGUUGGCGGGGUAAAGGCCCACCAAGGCGACGAUCCGUAGCUGGUCUGAGAGGAUGAUCAGCCACACUGGAACUGAGACACGGUCCAGGCUCCUACGGGAGGCAGCAGUGGGGAAUAUUGGACAAUGGGCGCAAGCCUGAUCCAGCCAUACCGCGUGGGUGAAGAAGGCCUUCGGGUUGUAAAGCCCUUUUGUUGGGAAAGAAAAGCAGCAGGUUAAUACCCCGCUGUUCUGACGGUACCCAAAGAAUAAGCACCGGCUAACUUCGUG
rnacentral:rRNA from 1 species